AAAAUUUUCGUUAUCGGAUUCUGUUUCAUUUUCACCUUCACCUCUGAUCCAUACUUGCAUAGACAGAUCCAAGUUCCUCAUAUACGUCUCAAUCUAUAACUUCAAGCACAUCAUCGAAUUCUGUUUCAGUUUUGCCGUAACUUUUACUCUGAUCCACACAUAAAUAAUCAUCUUUCGUUGCAUCUAGACCGUCAGAUAUACCACAUAAAUUAAACGGGUUUAAUUUUAUUCCGUGAUUUUAUUAUCUACUGACACACUAUUUAUGCACUGACAUGACGUAUUUGGUCUCCAUUUGUAAUUAGUUUUUUCACCUUCACUUUUGUUCGAGUAUUCCACUAACGUUUAAAAUAUUCUAUCGAUGAUUUAUUGACAUAUAUGUCUAAUAUAUGAACUAAUGGCAAUAAUCCGCUUGGAUAAACUGUCAUAUCUGUAUAACACUCUUUCAACAACAUAUUUGUGCUAUCCGUUAGAUGGAGGAUGAACAUGUCCCAAAGUAUUAGACUUUCUUGAUUAUCUGAGGCAAAAGGAAGCUUUUGCCAAAUAUUUCUUAUCCACAGUUUCACAACAUUUUUCUCCGCCGAUCAUUUCUCGUGAAUACGGAUGAAAACACUUUCGGGAAACUGCACUUCAGCAAAGUCUUUCUUUUCAAGAUAUCGAUGAGCUUUUAAUUUCGUACGGUCGGCUAAGCAGGAGAUCAGUACGGUGAGGUGAGAUUUCUCGUUGGCCUAUUGAUUUUAUGUUAACCGUUAUUUUUCUUUCAUAUCAUUGUUUCUUUAUCUCCUACUAUAUCAAAACUUCAGGAAUGACAUCGAUAUUUGCAACACGUGAUAGUAAAUAAAGUUUAACAUAUUUUUAAAAACUCAUCAAAGUUUUAUCUCUAUAUUUUCGAAGCCUUUGAAAAAAUUUUAUCUCUUUUUCUCGGAGAACUGAAUUAUUCCGUGAAGUAAAUCGAAUACACAACCUCAGUUUGCUUUAGAGUUUUCACUUCCAUUUGCACUCGUUUUUUCUAUUUUUAAGGCAAAGAAACGUACGCUGUUUCUUGUUACAAUUAAUCCAUUCUAGUGAUGAUGGGGAUUUUCUACAAUGCAGUUUCCAACACUUUCGCCGACGGAUGAAGAUUCAGGCCCCCUUUGCGCAUACCGACUGUAAUUUGAAUAGCCAGUUUACAAUAACAAGCUUAAUAGUAACCGACCGUCAUAGGAAGACGCCCGAGGCUUAAAGGAACGCGAAUCUCUAUCAAAGUUGCAACUUGUGUAAAUGCAAUUUUGACUUUUAAAUUCUUUUAUUUUCCC